UAGGGAAUCUUCGGCAAUGGACGACAGUCUGACCGAGCAACGCCGCGUGAGUGAAGAAGGUUUUCGGAUCGUAAAACUCUGUUGUUAGAGAAGAACAAGGACGUUAGUAACUGAACGUCCCCUGACGGUAUCUAACCAGAAAGCCACGGCUAACUACGUGCCAGCACCCGCGGUAAUACGUAGGUGGCAAGCGUUGUCCGGAUUUAUUGGGCGUAAAGCGAGCGCAGGCGGUUUAUUAAGUAUGAUGUGAAAGCCCCCGGCUCAACCGGGGAGGGAUAUUGGAAACUGGGGGACUUGAGUGCAAAAGAGGAGAGUGGAAUUCCAUGUGGAGCGGUGAAAUGCGUAGAUAUAUGGGGGAACACCAGUGGCAAGGGGGGCUCUCUGGUCUGUAACUGACGCUGGGGCUCGAAAGCGUGGGGAGAAAACAGG
rnacentral:rRNA from 1 species